AAACAGACAAGAAGAUUUGUGUUUGUAGAGUGACAUAGAAAAACAGUAUAUAGUGUAAUAUUAAUGCUAUAGUUCCAUGAAUAUCAACACACAAAAGAAGGCAUCCCGGUGCACAUGCAUUCCGCGUUAAGACGUUUAACACAGGGUCCGGAGAAGAAGGGCCGCACCCAAAAGGUGUAAUGUAGACAGCCUAACCUGAUAAUUACAUAUCAGUGGCUGCUUUCACGGCUUUAACCCAUGACCUUGAGGUCAUACGGAGGCAACUCAACCGUUGCUCUGAGGCUCUCCUUCUCCAUGAAUAUCAACAAAGCAACAAAAAUCAUUGUUUAGUUUCUGGACAAAUCGAAUUGCGAAGAAAUGCACGAGCAAUGAUGUUAUGCGCUCAUCCAUUAGGGUCGGCGACAUAGAUCAUCAUACAGCGCCAAGGUACCUUGUCAUAAAUUAUGUGUUUAAACCAUUUAUAGUUAAAUUAUUCUAAACUAGUUUCCUCCAUCAUCUUCUACCUCUAAUUAUAGCACUAUCCUUCAUCUGAAAUAUAUCGAGUCAAUUAAAAACUGAAAAACUAGGCACCACCACCAUUGAUGCAAAAACUUCCAAAUGAAACUAGCACCAUCAAGAAACAUUUUACACAUGCGUUCUUUAUAAUAUAUUUAGCAGGUUAACGGUGGCGUUCAAAGAAGGAUGGAUCCCAGGUUCUAGUAUUAACUACACAAGAACCAUAGUCACAUGAACACAUGUAAUGGAAGUAAAAUUGGACUCAAGUUCUGAGAAAAUCUGUAGAACACUUGGCCAAUGCAGUUAACGAAUGAAAUGAAAGCUCCAAAUUGAACCGUUCAGUGACAGCCCACAUAUUUAGCACCAUCAAUAAUGAGAAUGAAAAUUCUCUAAUUUUUUAUAUAGGAAAGUCUAAUAAGAGGUAUAAUGUUACUUGUGGUCUUGUGGAUCAUAAAAAAAGAGUGAAAGCCUAACAAUACAAUUGGUGAUUGCACUUAUUCAAAUAUCAUCAUUCGAAUAACUCAGCGUGUCAAAUUUCAAUUUGCUAGACAAUCAAUAACUUCCAGAUUAAAUAGUAGUAAACGAUCAGCACAAAAACAUGCUCACAAUCCGGUCUUCGCAUGCUCAUAAUGAACCACAGUAAAAAUUAGAAAUUAAAAACAUGCCAACUUACUAGCAGGUCACGUGUCCAACAUGUUGGAUACCAAUGCUCAAGAAUUCACAUACACAGUAAGACAAGUGUCUUAUCCAAUUGAGAGAAGAAUUGGUGUUUUGGGGUUUUUUGUUUGUGUGUGUGGGUGGGGGGGGGGGAGGGAGAGAGAGAGAGAGAGAGAGAGAGGGAAGGGGUUGGACACAUUUCAAACACAGUUAACGACAGCCCCCUAAUCAUUGGAACAGACUUAAAUGUAGCAAGUAUUGGCGUACAUGACAUAUAUAUCAAUAAUCUCCCGUGGUUUUUUUAAAGAGUUCAGAAAGCAAUAAGUACUGGUGAUUUGACAUAUAAGAAUAAAAACGGGUGGCCGAGGCUUACAAAGUACAAAGAGAAAAGUUACAUUUGAGAACAGGCUGACAUUUAAGAUAGUAACAUUUCUAAAUUAUUAAGGGAUGCAACAAGUGACAUGAUAGAGGUUAUAUUAAACCAGUUAGAGAGAUUAAUAAGAACCAUUCCCAGGCCUUAAGAUUUUGGACCAUCUGGCUACCAACAUAGAAGCAAAGUUUCAUCGACCAUUUUCAACAAUUAUCAUCUUAAUCCUUGUUAUCAUGUUUGUCUUAAUUAGUAGAGAAACCUUUGGUGAACUCAUUCAUUAUGGGAUAUCUUCCAAAUUCAUCCAUCAUCCGCAAUUGAAUGUGUGUGGACCCCACUUAGACCUCAUUCAAUGGUAAAGAAUGGAUGAGUCAGCACAUUAUCCCAUGAGAAAUGACUUCACUAGCAUAACUCUAAUUAUUAGUUAUCUUCACAAGAUUCUGAACUGUGCUUAUUACAUGCCUAGCUUAUGCAUGGGAGGGCACAUGAGAAAUUAUUAAGAAGCUAUAGUUGCCCUCUCCUAGCAGGAUAGACUUUACAAGCCAAAGCCAAAGUGAUCGACACGAGAAAAGCAGACGCAGAUCAAAACCUGCAAUAGUGAAAAUUAAACAGCAGCACUACCG